rnacentral:lncRNA from 1 species
AAGGAAUCUAUUAACACAUUACAAAGAACGAGGUCAAGGGCAUAUCCUUUGGAUUCCAUAAUAUUUAGAAUAUUGAAUGCUUCACUAACCAUAUUAGAUUUUAAAAAUCCCCUGAUUAAAGUUGUGUACGUUACAAUACUAGGUGAAGAACCAGUCUCAACCAUCUUCUCCAAUAACUUACCAGCCACAUCAAGUCUCUGCAACCGACAAAACCCAUUCAUCAACAUACUCCAAACAUUUACAGACACAGCGCUACCCAAAGUAAUCAAUAGACCCAAAACUUGAUGCGCCUCCACUAUUUUACCCAUUUUGCAUAAACAGCUCAAAAUCAUCUCAAAUGUCUCCACUUUGGGGUGAUAUCCCCAUCGCAACAUCAUUCUAAACACAUCUCCAAUGUGAUAUAAAUCAUUGAUAUUACAUAAAUUACACAGUGCAAUGUUAAAAGUCAAAAAAUUUGGCCUUCGGGUCUCUUUCAGAAACUUAAUAGCUAAAUCCACAUGCCCAAUUUUGAACAACGCAUCAAUGAUUAUGUUACGAGCAAAUGUGUUUGGAGUAAAGCCAUAAGUACCCAUUAGCUCAAUAGCCUCAAAGACCAUUGUAUACAUUUCGCCACGCCAAUAAAUCCUCAACAACAGCAAAAAUGUUUGAGAUUUUACAACACACCCCAUGCUCUCUAGUUCCCUAAUAACCAAUUUAACGGUUCUGUAUUGUUCCAUCACGCGCUUGAUCACACCAACCAUGUGAUCAAUCACAAUCUUACUGUGAAAAAAAUUAUGUUGUCCGGCACACCACAAGAAGAAUCUCAAUGCAAUCAAAUCAGAAGGGCAGUUCAAUAAAGUGGAAUGCACAACUUGAUGAUUGAGUUUACUUGUUUGUCGGUCAAAAAGUUUCGGGAAAUUUUCUUGGGUUUUGUUAGUUGGACACAUCUUUGGUGAUGAAAAGUGGCAGAUAGGCAGCAUGCGCAGUGCUCUGAUGAUUUGGGUUGGCCCUCUGGGCACAAAACAAUACCUAAAUCUCCAUACUAUUUCCAUGAAUCAGUAUCAAUCUUCUUUCUCAACAAAAAAGUUCCAGCUUUUCUUGCAAAAACACACAUAACCUAGUGCUCAAUUUUCCAAAAAUUAUAACCAAAUGAUUCUGCUGCUAGUGUUGGUGGCCAAAGCACUGAAAACUGGAAUUCGUCCAUUAAAAGUCCAACUAAACAACCCUGCAAAGCAACUAAACUAAUUACAGCAAUUUUACCUAAACAUAAAUAGAACAGUUACACAAACCCUACAAUCAAAGGUCUAAUUUUCAACUAAAUAAAACAAACCCAUUAAUAAUUUCAGUGUCAUCCAAAAUCACAAAUACACAAAUCUAAAAUAGAGACUUUAAAGAGCUAUUUGAAAUUAAUGUCAUGUAUGAUUCUAAAUUUCUAAUUAUAAUGGAAAUGAAAUAGAAAAUUUAUUCAUUUAAACACUGCAUGAACAACACAACACUAUCACGCCACAAAUUCCAAUUGCAAUGAUACAUGCUUGAUCACACAAACUUUUUGUUCAGCAAUCUGAUUACGAAACAACCAACUAAUUAAACACCUAAUGAUAGGGUUCAACAUUAUUUAUUGCAGGUAUUAGUAUGCAUUAGCAUUUAUAAGAAGUAAUGACCAAAGAAUAUGGUCUUGUGUCAAUUCAAGCUAUUAGCGACACUAUAUAUAUCUUUAAUGGGUUAAACUUCGACUCAAAAAUCAACCUCAACACCACCUAAUCCUGUUACCACCUAAGCCGGGGCAGACGGUCGACAGUGCAUAACAGAAAUGCCAACUCAACCUAAUGGUAUGAUGUGUCCAAUGAAAAUUUCUAUCGCAAACAACUCAGCAGAGUUGCUCUAUAUAGUUCAUGUAACAUGAAGUUAAAAACAGAAUUCAUUGAUGUAUUAUACUUCCCAACUAUGUUUUUUCAGAAACCUAUAAUGUCUCAUACAUUUGAGUAUAGUUCGAUAUCAAAUGUAACAAUGUACACUCAGACGAAACAAAAAUGCACCAAAACCCUCCAUGGACUUUUCCUUUCUCCAUGUUACAGCGAUAGUCUUAGAGCUCUCACAACAUCACAGAUGCAUGACCAAGAGUGUAUUCGACAACCUUGCCUCUAAUCCUUUUCAUCAGUUGGUCCUAAAGCAACUAUAUUCUUUUAAAUUCAUCUUCUUUUUCGGUAUCAACACCAGUGUUUUAAGAACCUAGCCCAGAGCGCCUCCGAGGCUGGGCGUGAGAGUUGCCGCCUUAGUUUCGCAGGAGUGGGCGGAGGCAUUGCCGGAGCGCGUCUAGGAGGCAGAGGAGCGACUCAGGGUGAUCUUGGCGUUUUUUUUCUUAAAAACCCAAGUUUUCUGAAAUGUUUUUCUGCUGUUCUAGUUUCAACGAAGAAGAAGGAGAGACUUUCUCUCUCCAAAUCCCAUAAAUUUCAAUAAUAAUUGCUCCACUCAGCCUUUAUUUCAUUUUAAGUUCCCUACAAUGAACACACACACACACACACACACUCACACACACCAAACACACCAAACACAAAACACUUACCCAGUUGGAAAUGAUUUUUGCAUAUAUAGGCAAAAGACAGCAUGAUUCAAAUAUAAUUUUAUUAGGGUUGGUUGGUAAAAGCACAACUCAUCCAGCAAGAUGUCUAUCGUACAAAGAUCCACUGUCAACUAUAAUACCAACUGUGAUUCUUCUGUCACACACUUUAGUUCCAUAAUACGUACCAGACCCCACCAAACCACAUGCUAAUUAAACUAAUUAACAAAGUAAAAUCAUCUUUAGUCUUUAAUAUCCAAAGCCUGAAAAAUGUUGCCCUCCCUUUGCAAACCAAAUACAGAAAGAAUAUAACACAUUUUCUAUCAAAAUAUUAUACAAAUAUGUACUAACUAAACCAAUUUUCGAGAGGAUUUAGCUGACGCUAGCAUCCAAUAAUUGAUUUACCAAUCAAUUUAGAGGUUAGUCUCAAUCCUAAAGCACCCGAUAUCAUUGGUGCACCAAUGCUGCACAUCACAAUAUAAACUAUACGGAAGGCAAAGCAAAUGACCAAAAAAUUAAUUAAAUAAAAAUCCCACAACACCAGAGUAAGAGGCGUGAGCCUUGCCUCAUCUAGAGACUGCAAAAUCCAAAUUCAUCACAUAUAUAUUUUGCUUCUCCCACCCAUAAUAUAAUUCUGGCUCUUUAGGAUAUCUUCAAACGAAGAAUGUGCAACAAAUCUACUUAGUUCUAACUUCGAACACACCGUGGGAUUUAAAAGAUAUUGCAUACCCAUCGGGAAACUAUACAGAAGAUAGAAACUGCAAAAACUUUUUUCCUCUUAUCCGUUUUCACCGAAAACGAUGCAAGCUUCUUUUUUGCUAUGUCUCUGUUACACAUCACUGGAUAAGGAGUACACUCUAAGAACAAACAGAAACAAAACAUACACAGAACAGACAUAUAUAACUAUCAUACCAAGAAGGCAUCAGAAAUGCCCGUCAAAAUCAUUACCAAGCUUAGAUACUUUCAGAGUACGUGAAGUGGGGUCACUUACAUUCUGCAUCAAAAAACCCGACUCCCUACAUGUAAACAUAAAGUCCUAGAAUUGGACGCAUGGUAAUUGUUAAUUCUAAAAGCGAAUUAAUAGACAUAAACUAAAGGAGCACAACUUGGCAUCUCUGCUAUCGUAUUAAAGUAUCAAUCAUAAUGGCCUAUGAGGAGUGUUUAAAAAGAAUUAAAUCUCAGCCAGAGACCACCAAUUGGUAAUCAACCUCACUUCCAGAAAAUUAGUCAGGAAACAAUGAGAUAAAGAGCUUCAAAAAUAAAAAAUAUAAGCAUUAAAUGCUGUACAAAUUCUGAUAAGUUAGUCUGGGAUAACUAUCGUUUUUAUGCAACACUUAGUAUAAAGAUAGUGUUUUUUGCAGGAGUUGGUAUAAAGAUAGUCUGGAACUUUUGGUCAAGUAGGUUACAAUGGAUUUAUGAUGUACUUGGUAUUGUUAUUUUCAAUAUUGAGUGUUAAUCACACAAAUUCACACUUGAUAUUUUCCCUCACCGACACCACCUUUACGGGAUUUUAAUCUACAAAGUUAUGCAAUACCAUACCCAUACAUUGGAUAUUACCAUAAUCACCAAUAAUAUUCCACAGAAGAUAUACACAUUUCGAGACAAUCAUACAUUUGAUUCCUACAAUAUAUUUCAUGUCUUGCAGAAAAAAUAGAAAUUAAAAAAAAUAAAAAAUAAAAAUAAAUAAAUAAAUAAAUAAAUAAAACACACACACACAAAGAUAAAAAGAGUACCUCAUACUUUCCCUGCAGCUGCUCUUCAAAAGUCAAAAAGCUUCAGAUCCUAAGUACCAAGCAAAUAUUGAAGUGAUUCAAUAAUUAUAAAAAAAAAUCAACCAUGCAUGGAACAAAACUUAGAAAUUAAACAAUUAUCAAAGCUUGUGAAGAAUGCUAAAUCCAACAAAUUCUAAACAUAAAGUAACCCGAAGGAGAUAAAACCCUUUACAGAAAAUAUCCAAUAUCCAAUAUCCAAUUAACCUAAUUGUAUUCAAACCUAGCAAAUCUCCAUUGAAUUAAGCACAGUUCGCACUAAAUUAUCCAUCUUUUCUUUUCACAGUAAAUUAAUGAUAAGACCAUGAGCAUGUAAGUCUGGACCACUACGACCAAAAUUCCAGCAAUCAAUAACCAUAACUAUAAAUUUUGACUAACUUAAAAUUGCUACAGUGUUUGACAAUGAUCAGACAAAAACUGAAUCUUUUGUGGAGCCGCAGAUAUUCAAUCAGAAAAAAUGAAUAAUCGAAUUAGUUGACUAAAUUUAUGGAAGAAAGAGAGAAGAGGGGAAUGGAGGAGAACAGCAGCAAGGAGACGAAAUCAGAUUCAGAGUUUGAGAGUCAAUUGCUAAAUUUGGAUGAACUGACCUAUUCGAUGUGAAACAGGCCAUCAGCUACCCCAGCAAUCUCUCGAUCACCGACAGUUGGAAGCCUAAAUUAGUGGGUAGCUGUCAGAUCUCACUCACUCUCUGCAGGCAUGGGCCUCCUCCUCAAUUUCCGUCAUCUUCCUCUCUGCGCUCUCUCUCUCUCUCUCUCUUCCAAAGGAGCCGUUUCCCAGGCCCAAAUGUAGCGGCCCAAUCGGGGUGUUUUGGCCGAAGCACAUCCCACACACACAAUGGCAGCUUUGUAAUUAAAGCAAAAUAGAGACCCCAUUCCAUAGGCAACAUGAAUAGUGCCAAUUCGGAACUCUACUUUAGACUAAAGUAAUUAAAAAUAACAUCUACAACUCUCUUACAAAACACAAUCUUAAUAUGGUAUCCUCAAAAGAAUUAGUAUCCAGACUCAAAUCAGCAUGCAAGUUGUCGCCAACAAGUAACCAGUUGCAAAUAUUCAAGAGUCAUUUAUAGUUAGCAAGCAUAGAUGUAAAAGACUCAAAUCAGCAUGCACGUUGUUGCCAACAAGUAACCAGUUGCAUUUCCUGUAAAAACAAAGAAUAAACUGUUUCAACAUUCAAGAGUUAUUCAUAGUUAGCAAGCAUACAUGUAAAUACAAAACCAACAGUUGCAUUUCCUUACUACUAACCUUUGGGCCUCUUGUGGUUUUGUUUUGAGUGCAAGACUGAUUCGCAUCCUUCCUCUCCCACAUGGCCUGCAACCGAGAAAGGCAGUGACGCCACAGAGAACCAAUGGACUGAAGCUUAUUGUAGUGAACUCUAUAUGUUCAGAAGUUCCAUAUUAACCUACACAGUACGGUAUAUAUCAAUGAUGAAAUAGUUGUUUGUCGCAAUUGAAAUGAUCGAACUAUUGUGAUUUCAAGGUUCCUAUUACUAAGGAAGUUACAGACUCUCUAAGAGCAUCUUUAUUUUCAUGCAGGCUUGAUAUAAAGGCAAGAAACAUGCUUAGAGACACACUCAUUAAAUUCUUGCUUAUAGCUUGGGAAUCAUAUUUGUUUUCACAUAUCUCGGUGGAAAUGAAUCAAUACUAUAGUAAAAGUAUCAAGUUACACAUUGUACGUCGACAAAGAACAAUUCUUAUAUAUUUGCUUACAGCAUGCAUGUUGUUGCCAACAAGUAUACCGUAUGAUAUUGCUUCCACUUAAAAAUACAACAAAGCAUCAAAGAAUUUGCAAAAGAAAAAACAAAAACACCAGCAGAAGACUCAAUUUAUAAUCGGCUUAAGAGUGCGUACCACAUUGAACCAUUGUAGGUAUAGAGACCAAAUUAUAACCAAAGUUUGAAAAUGCCUAUACCAACACAUGAGUGGAAUUAGGAAAAAAGAAAGGCAGGAUUUGGCAAUUACAUAUGUAAACAUAAUGUGAUGUUAAACCUAGACAAAUCUUCCAAUCUGAAAACAAACAAAGGUAAACAAGUGAGUAUUAAUUAUAUUUUCCAGCAAAGAAAAAAAGAAAGAAAUGUUAAAUAGCAUUGCCAAGUAUAUCAUCUAGAAGGAAUUGAAGAUACGAAAACUUCUAUGAAAGAAUUGAACUUUGGCAGUUCAGUGAAAAGCAACGGUAUCUAUAAAACAAUAAAACCAAGCAUAUUAUGCAAAAGUAUAAUCUUUAGGGAAUAUGUAUCAAAUCCUUAACUGGAGGUCAUUACUGCUCUGUACCACAACAAAGAUGAAAAAGAGUUUCAAUGAAUUAUUGGGGGGUCAACAUCGUCUUUCUGUAAAGUGAUACACGACGAGGGGUAAUCAAUGUGUUAAUCAAAAGUGGAGACACUCACAAAGCAGAUAGAUAUGAAGCCCAAUUGCUCUAUUGGUAUGAAGUUGGGAGUAUAAGUCUAUCCCCAAAAGCCGACGCACCUGCUCAAGUCAAAUGGUUAACCCUGUUCUCCCGCGUUCUCAUUGGGCAUCCAUAACCCCACAAUAACUAGGUCAUGACCUACAUAUAUCAAUAUUCACAAAGGGAUAAGCAUACUUCAAAAUGAGGAAAUCGCAAGGUGAUAACUAGAAAGCACCUUCAGAAACUUUGCAGAAAUCUGAUGAUUAAAACUCACAACUUUAAUAAACUGGGCAAACUAAUGCUGAUAUUUGUAGGAUUGUUGACCACGUACAUAAGCCCAAACUAAGCAACUCUGACGAGUAUAGGAGCCAGCUGCCAGAGACAAACAUACAGUGAAUCAUAGUGAUAUGAACCAUCAACUAAAAGAAGUGAAGAAUGAAAAACAAACUCCUGAGUUUUGCCCCUUCCCUUAUUUGCUCCAAUAAAUUGUGCAAGAUAAAUGAGAUGUACCCCUCUAAAUGUUAUAAAUUUGUAAAAUUAUAAGGCAUGGUACAUUUUCCCCGAAUUACUAAUAAACAAGCUCCCCUUUUCGGGAAAAAAAUGAAAACAAAUAAACAAGUUUCUCUUUUAGUUGUUAGAUUAUUAUUCUGUUCAAAUCUAUUUUGUGCUCCUAAUAAGUAAUAAUUGAAACAAUAAGUGAAACCCACACGAUUUUAGGAAUGAGAAACAAGCUUUUGUUUGGAGAAAUCACAACUAGCAUCUUUAAGGUUAUCGCAUUUGAUAAAUGAGUUUUUUUUUCUUUUUUUUUGAAAAAAAAAGGUACCAAGCAGCAACCCAAAUAUCCAAAAUAAAUUCUUAAAUUCAAAUUGAAUGUUUUAAGAAUUAAUCCCAAAGGCCAAAGGCAAUUCAAAGAUAACCAAUUAGACAGGAAAGAAAUUGAAGUUACAAGAAUUACCUUUAGCAUGCUAGAUGAAAUGCCAUUUAAACUGUCAAUUCCAAGAGAAGACAUUGAAGAGGCAAAUCUUAACCACUAUAAAUCUCAAGCCAUUGAAGCAGCCACAUCAUAAACGUCUUCAGAGCCAGAUGCCUCCACAGAUCGAUCAGUUUCUGAAGUAACGUCUGAAAUUGCAAUUAGGCCAUCAUCUACUUUCAUGCCUUUGGCAACUUCAUCAGAAAGUAAUUCUUGCACUACUUUAGAAGAUAUCAAACCCAAACUUCUCAUCUCAAUCCAUAGUUCAAUAACUGAACUAGAAAGAUAUGGUCUACAGAGGAAUUUUGAUAAUCUCAAGAAAGUAUUGGAGCUCAGUUCUACUUUUGCUUCUAUCAUCUCUUGUAGCAGUAAAUUAACCAUAUUAAGAUCUCUUUCUUUAACAAAACCAGAGACCAUUACAUUGUAUGUAUGUACAGUAAGAGCCAAGCCGACUUCCUUCAUCUGGCAAUAGAGUGACCAAGCCUCUCCAGCUCUACCACCCAUAAAGAGCCCUAUAAUGGCAACUGUGUAUGCUGCAACAUCAAGGGUGUAGCCCUCUUCAACUGCUUUUCUAAACACUCUAAUGGCCGCAUUAAAUUUACGGACCUUUAUAAGCCCAUCCAUGACCACAGUAUGAAUAUAAGCAUCCUGUCCAGGGAAACUCUGGAGAAUCCCAUGAUACGCAUCAACUGCUUCAUCAACUCUUUUUGCCUUGCAUAACCCAUCUACUAAUCCAACAAAAGUAUACUUAUCUGGGUAAGGCCAUUAUCAAGCAUAUCAUUAUAAAACUUUACAGCAAGAGACGGAAACUUGGCUUUACAAAAAUAACAGAGAAGUGAGUUACAUAGCAAUAAGUCAGCUUCUAUGUCAAGUCCACGAACCAACUUGGGUAACAUAUCAAACCUCCUAGACAAACACAAGGUAGAUAAUAAUGAAGAGACAGUACAAGAAUCAGGAGCCAAGUUCCGUGAUCGCAUGCUAACAAAAACAUUAAUGGCAUCAUCACACCUCCCAGCUUUGGCAAAGGAGUCUAUUAACACAUUACAAAGAACGAGGUCAGGGGCAUAUCCUUUGGAUUCCAUAAUAUUUAGAAUAUUGAAUGCUUCACUAACCAUAUUAGAUUUUAAAAAUCCCCUGAUUAAAGUCGUGUACGUUACAAUACUAGGAGAAGAACCAGUCUCAACCAUCUUCUCCAAUAACUUACCAGCCACAUCAAGUCUCUGCAACCGACAAAACCCAUUCAUCAACAUACUCCAAACAUUUACAGACACAGCAAUACCCAAAGUAAUCAAUAGACCCAAAACUUGAUGCGCC